rnacentral:rRNA from 1 species
GACGAACGCUGGCGGCGUGCUUAACACAUGCAAGUCGAGCGGUAAGGCCCUUUCGGGGGUACACGAGCGGCGAACGGGUGAGUAACACGUGGGUGACCUGCCCUCAGCUCUGGGAUAAGCCUGGGAAACCGGUCUAAUACUGGAUAUGACUCCAUGACGCAUGUUGUGGGGUGGAAAGCCUUGUGCGGCUGAGGAUGGGCCCGCGGCCUAUCAGCUUGUUGGUGGGGUGAGGCCUACCAAGGCGACGACGGGUAGCCGGCCUGAGAGGGCGACCGG